rnacentral:rRNA from 1 species
CCCAGACUCCUACGGGAGGCAGCAGUGGGGAAUAUUGGGCAAUGGGCGCAAGCCUGACCCAGCAACGCCGCGUGAAGGAAGAAGGCUUUCGGGUUGUAAACUUCUUUUAAGAGGGAAGAGAAGAAGACGGUACCUCUUGAAUAAGCCACGGCUAACUACGUGCCAGCAGCCGCGGGAAUACGUAGGGGGCAAGCGUUAUCCGGAUUUACUGGGUGUAAAGGGAGCGUAGGUGGCAUGGCAAGCCAGAAGUGAAAACCCGGGGCUUAACCCCGCGGAUUGCUUUUGGAACUGUCAGGCUGGAGUGCAGGAGGGGCAGGCGGAAUUCCUGGUGUAGCGGUGAAAUGCGUAGAUAUCAGGAGGAACACCGGUGGCGAAGGCGGCCUGCUGGACUGUAACUGACACUGAGGCUCGAAGGCGUGGGGAGCAAACAGGAUUAGAUACCCGGGUA